rnacentral:rRNA from 1 species
UGGGGGAUAUUGCACAAUGGAGGAAACUCUGAUGCAGCGACGCCGCGUGAGGGAAGACGGUCUUCGGAUUGUAAACCUCUGUCUUUAGGGACGAAAAAAUGACGGUACCUAAGGAGGAAGCCACGGCUAACUACGUGCCAGCAGCCGCGGUAAAACGUAGGUCACAAGCGUUGUCCGGAAUUACUGGGUGUAAAGGGAGCGCAGGCGGGAGAACAAGUUGGAAGUGAAAUCCAUGGGCUCAACCCAUGAACUGCUUUCAAAACUGUUUUUCUUGAGUAGUGCAGAGGUAGGCGGAAUUCCCGGUGUAGCGGUGGAAUGCGUAGAUAUCGGGAGGAACACCAGUGGCGAAGGCGGCCUACUGGGCACCAACUGACGCUGAGGCUCGAAAGUGUGGGUAGCAAACAGGAUUAGAUACCCUGGUAGUCCACACUGUAAACGAUGAUUACUAGGUGUUGGAGGAUUGACCCCUUCAGUGCCGCAGUUAACACAAUAAGUAAUCCACCUGGGGAGUACGACCGCAAGGUUGAAACUCAAAGGAAUUGACGGGGGCCCGCACAAGCAGUGGAGUAUGUGGUUUAAUUCGACGCAACGCGAAGAACCUUACCAAGUCUUGACAUCCCUUGACGAUGCUGGAAACAGCAUUUCUCUUCGGAGCAAGGAGACAGGUGGUGCAUGGUUGUCGUCAGCUCGUGUCGUGAGAUGUUGGGUUAAGUCCCGCAACGAGCGCAACCCUUAUGGUCAGUUACUACGCAAGAGGACUCUGGCCAGACUGCCGUUGACAAAACGGAGGAAGGUGGGGAUGACGUCAAAUCAUCAUGCCCUUUAUGACUUGGGCUACACACGUACUACAAUGGCGUUAAACAAAGAGAAGCAAGACCGCGAGGUGGAGCAAAACUCAGAAACAACGUCCCAGUUCGGACUGCAGGCUGCAACUCGCCUGCACGAAGUCGGAAUUGCUAGUAAUCGUGGAUCAGCAUGCCACGGUGAAUACGUUCCC